rnacentral:rRNA from 1 species
UACGAAGGGGGCUAGCGUUGCUCGGAAUCACUGGGCGUAAAGCGCCCGUAGGCGGGUUGCCAAGUCGGGGGUGAAAUCCUGGAGCUCAACUCCAGAACUGCCUUCGAUACUGGCGAUCUUGGAGUCCGGGAGAGGUGAGUGGAACUGCGAGUGGAGAGGUGAAAUUCGGAGAUAGGCGCAAGAACACCAGUGGCGAAGGCGGCUCACUGGCCCGGUACUGACGCUGAGGUGCGAAAGCGUGGGGAGCAAACAGG